GUUUGAGUCUAUGCUCUUACAGGUCGAAUUGGCAUAAAAUGAAAGCAUUCAGGACACUUCGAACUCUAAACAUCUUUGCAUCAAAACCCCAAAAUUCAAAUUCCCAUCUCUUCAAUCGAAUUCUUCUCUCUCAUUUCUUCUCAGCUCAACCUGAGCAAAACCAAAGUGAAAACGACAAUAAUGACUCGUUUUUUGACAGCA
rnacentral:misc_RNA from 1 species